rnacentral:ncRNA from 1 species
AACGAAACUUUGCACGACAGACCUCGGAAAUCUCAACAAGCAAAGUAUGGAUUGAUAGACGGCCCGAUUUCUGUAACUUUACCCAGAAAUAUGGGCGUCUUCCGUGCUGCUUGUUGGGGAACUUAGGUUCUCUCCUCUCCGAGGAGGUGUCGUGCGUGCGGGAGGCGACCAUAUUUUAUUGUUCCCUCCUGCUAUUAGGAUCAUUGCUUUA